rnacentral:rRNA from 1 species
AUGCCCAUUCGUGUUCCAAAAGUACCUUAUCGGAUUCCCAGAGAUGAAGAAGCGACUUGGGUUGACUUAUACAAUGUUAUGUAUUGAUAAAGGACACUUUUUUAG